rnacentral:rRNA from 1 species
UACAGAGGGUGCGAGCGUUAAUCGGAAUUAUUGGGCGUAAAGGGCGCGUAGGUGGCUUGGUAAGUCAAAGGUGAAAUCCCUCGGCUCAACUGAGGAAUUGCCUUUGAAACUGCCUGGCUUGAGGCCGGGAGGGGGUAGCGGAAUUCCCAGUGUAGCGGUGAAAUGCGUAGAUACUGGGAGGAACACCGGUGGCGAAGGCGGCUACCUGGACCGGUUCUGACACUGAGGCGCGAAAGCGUGGGGAGCAAACAGG